rnacentral:tRNA from 1 species
UUAAAAAUUUAUAUAAUAUUAUUUUGAAAAAAUAAAGUUUUUUUAAAUUUUUAAU